GGUCCUCCUUUCUUCCGGAUUGCAGUUUGUGGUGCCCGCGGGAGGCAAAAAACCAGAGAACGGAACGGGGUGGGUGUGUUAGACCCAGAGGAAACCCCUCUCCGUCCUGUCCUCACAUCUCCGAGGCCUAGAGAGGACUCAAUCUUAGGUCCAUUGUACCCCAUAUCAUCCCCCUGAAGAAAAGCUAAAUUUGCUCAGUAACUGCGCCAGACCCCACCCUCAGUCUUUCAGUCAGUUCCAAAGGGCUCACCCACACUCCAGGGGACUCUGAGUCGAAAAGGGGGUCCGUGGAACAGGGUGGGAUUACAGCAAUUGAAAAAAUUGGUCUGGAGCCGUCUCUGGCCUGGGAAAACCGCUGCUUCCACAGAUAAGCCGAGGGGAGCAGGCGCGGGCGCAGAAGAGUGACUUCAGACCACAGAACAGGUAGUGUAGACUGAAUGAGGUACGAAUUGGCCCAGUGAAGACGGAAUUAGGUGCUAAUUGGCCCAAUCUGAGACUGGGUUAAUAGCUGACUUCUGACCCCCAGGCCCCUGUAAGGACAGCGAAGGGAGCCUUUGACUGCUCCAGCUACAGGUGUGAGGUCACAGAGGCACUGGGGCUCUUGAAGCUUGAUGCUUCUUCUGAAUGAAGACGGCCCAAUCAUAUUAAGUAACAUGUAUAUAUGAGGUGCUGUUUUGAGUAUAUUUACUUUGUUAGGCCUCAGGACAACCCUAUGAGGUAGGGAUUACAAUCACCCUCAGUUUACAGAUAAGCAUGUGAGUGCUUCUCUAGUAAGGAGUAAAGCAGGACUUCACAUUCAAGGCAGUCUGGCUCCAGAGUCUGCACUCCUCUAAGAGCACAACCUACAGAUGUACACAAUCUACAAUCCGGGGCGAAGACUGCAGCCAUGUCCUGCCCGCCAUCCACAACACACAGUGAGGUGUCGCUCCAGGACCUUGCUUCAGACAUGUGAAUGGAUGAAGAAAACAUGGUAUAUACAUACAGUGGAAUACUGUUCAGCCUUUAAAAAUAUGAAAAUUGCAAUAUGCAACAACAGGGAUGAACUCUGAGGACAUUAUGGAUCUUAGUUUCCAGACCAAGGAUUGAACCUGGAGCUAUGCUGAAUCCUAACUGCUGGA